rnacentral:tRNA from 2 species
GCCCCCGUAGCUCAGUGGCUAGAGCAGGGCCCUCUUAAGGCCAAGGUCCUAGGUUCGAAUCCUAGUGGGGGUACCA